rnacentral:rRNA from 1 species
UCCGAGUUGAUUCGGGCUCCGGCCCGAUCCUCCCACCCUUUGUGUACCUACCUCUGUUGCUUUGGCGGGCCGCGGUUCUCCGCGGCCGCCCCCCUCCCCGGGGGGUGGCCAGCGCCCGCCAGAGGACCAUCAAACUCCAGUCAGUAAACGAUGCAGUCUGAAAAACAUUUAAUAAACUAAAACUUUCAACAACGGAUCUCUUGGUUCUGGCAUCGAUGAAGAACGCAGCGAAAUGCGAUAAGUAAUGUGAAUUGCAGAAUUCAGUGAAUCAUCGAAUCUUUGAACGCACAUUGCGCCCUUUGGUAUUCCGAAGGGCAUGCCUGUUCGAGCGUCAUUACAACCCUCAAGCUCUGCUUGGUAUUGGGCACCGUCCUUUGCGGGCGCGCCUCAAAGACCUCGGCGGUGGCGUCUUGCCUCAAGCGUAGUAGAACAUACAUCUCGCUUCGGAGCGCAGGGCGUCGCCCGCCGGACGAACCUUCUGAACUUUUCUCAAGGUUGACCUCGGAU